AAAGAAAACAAGGAAGUCGGUUCAGAGGGGUGGGCAGGAGGCCUCAGGGACAGCAUGGGACAUGUGGCUGUGCUCCCCACUGCCGGGCCUGCCCUUUCCUCCCCUUGGACCCUCUUACACCUCCCUCUGUGUGUUUCUCAUCUAUCUGCUCACCCAAAAUGUAUUAAGUCACUAUUUGCAGAGGACCCGGCAGAGUAGACAGAAAUAGGGAUCAUGAGGAUGACGUUCUCAGGGGGUUAAUGAAGCAGCCCUGCUGAUGGUGUGGGUCCCGCACACACCCCUCUGCACCCCGACCCUCACGGUGCUUGGCCCACCGACAGGGAGAACAAGGUGCCAAGACUCACAGCUGCUGAUCACCUAUGCUGAGACUGGACCCCAGGCUCAAGGCCCAGGAUCCUGCAGCCUCAACCCCUGGGCUCCUUCCUGGAAGGGAAAUUUCUCCAAAGACAUACAAGCGGCCGUCAGGACAUGAAAAGAUGCUCACCACCAAAUCAAAACUACAGAAUACCACCUCACACCCACUAGGAUGGCAAUUAGUUUUUAAAAGAGAAAUGAGUGCUGACAAGGAUGUGGAGGAACCAGAAUCCUUGUGCUGUUGCUAGCGGGAAUGUAAAAUGGUGGUCCCUUUGGAAAACUGUGUGAGAGUUCCUCAAAAGUUAACUGUCGAGUAACUGUAUGAUCCAUAUACCCCUCCUAGAUGUACACCCAACAGAAAUGAAAAUACACAUUCACAUAAAAAACACACACACCUACGUCCACAGCAUCACUCUCAGUGAUCAAAAGGUGGAAACCACGCAAGUGUCCAUCAACAGGUGAAUGCACGAACAUACUGUGGUCCACCUGUGUAAUGGAAUGAUAGCCACAAGAAGGAACGAAGCACUGACAUGCGACAGCAUGGAUGACAAUCAAAAACAUGAUGCUCCGUGAGAGGAGCUGGACCCAGAGGCUUGAAACUGUAAAUAAAAGGAGAAGGGCAUUCAGCAUUUGUCCUACUUUUCUGCCAGGUAAACAUACCGGGGGCGGCGGCGGGGGGGGGGGGGGGAACAGCACAAAUGUAUUCUGGCUGAUCUGUGAAGAAGGAAUGAGAUUUUCACCAGUUUAUGAUUGCUGAUGGACCAGUAAUCUAGGCACUGUCCACUCUGCCAACACCACAAGCACAGACCACCUUCGCGGAAGAUCUCACCUCCAGAUUCAAGUUCACCUUGGCAGGAAAGACACAGAUUGGAGCACUGUGCUAAAUACAGACACCUCGGGGACGAGGGCAGUGACAAGCCAGAUGGCACCAAACUCUCCAGGACAAAUACACAGAGGAGCUUCAACAAAUAAAUUGCCAAGAGAAAAAAAGAAAGAGAUGGUAGAAAGAGAAUCCAUAGACUCAAAAUGCCCUGAAUCACAACGUGUGGGUCUAACCUAGAUCCUGAUUCAGACAGAGAAGAACUCUGAACACCUGACUCGAGAUUAAGGACUCAUUUGCAGGCCUGACAACAGUAUUGCUGGACUGCUGAAAAGCAGUCCGUAUCUUUUAGAGACAUCAUCUGAAACACUGACACGUGAAAUGAAAGUGUCUGGGAUUCGCUGCAGGAUGACCCAGGCAGGGGGCGGCAGUCCCAAGACCACUAGCACCAGGUGACGGCUCCCAGGGGCUCGGUGCAUCACCCCAUCUGCUCUUGCAGGGGCUUCAAAUUCUCCCUGGUUGCUGAGUGGACACAGGGCUGCAAGGCUAUGGGCUGGGAGGAGGAACUCAGCUAAGGGCAGGUGUCAGCAAGGGGAGGUGGACAGGUAGCAGGUUGUCCAGUGACACCCCCGUCCCCACCCUGUAAGGCAUAGGGCUAGGCUGGGCCUGGGGCCUGCUCUCCUAGGACAAGGCCUGCUCUCCCAGGCCUUGGCUGCCUCACCUGUAGCAUGGGGAGGAUGAGACACAGCCACAGUGCUCAGCUCUGCACCAUCAAGAGAUGGAAACUGCUUGCUGUUUUCAGCAGGAAGAGAUGGAGGCUUGAGGAGCCCCGAGGAGACACAGCAGACAGAUGGGACACGCACAGGACUCCCCAGGCAAGGAUGGGGCUCACAGGGACACUCUGACUCUACCCACUGCCAAACUCAGGUGCCGGAGGCUCAGAACCAGGCCUUCCUCAAGUCUCCACCCUCUCUGGUGACCCCUGCCCACACAGCCGUAUCCUGGUGGUGCAGGUGCCAGGCAGGUCCAGCUGCUCCACUCACCCAGGCUCUUCAACCGACCCCCCUAAUCCCCCAGACCACUCUCCUCCAGACCGCUUGCCACCCCCCAGUCACCCAGCUGCUUCUACCGCAGCCCCCUUCAAUCCACAGAGUUUAAACUGGCUCAGGGCUCACUCCCAACCCACUCCUUUAAAACCUGCCAAUGGCCUCCCUCCAAGGGCCUUCUCUGACCAUUAUCCCCAAUCACAGCGUUCGUCACGGUGCGCAGGAUGGAUGUCUCUUGUCUGUCCACCCACCCCGCUGGACAAAGGGACCCCUUUUGUUCCUAUGGGGCAGCACUGAGCAGGCACCUGUGUCUGCUGGAUGCACCUAUGUACUUGUCUGUCCUACAGAAACCUGACGGGUGCCUGGCUGUGUGUUCACUGCAAGGCCAGGGCCAAGGAGGGGUCUCUCCCUUCCUCAGUAGUACUGAUGUGACACUGACGAUGCUCUAUAACAUGACUUUGCAGAGCAUUGCUGCUGCCAGGCCAGGCACUCUUCCAAGCACAUAACAUGAAUGCUCCAAAGCACAGGUGCUCUUACUGUCCCCAUUUCACAGAUGAAGAAACUGAAACAGAGGCGGAUAACAUGCCUGGUGCCACGAGGCUGGUCAACAGGGAGCCAGCAUCACCCCAGGCAGGCGGUGUUCUCUGGAACCCCCGGUUCCUAGAGCGGGUUCUCACACCCACACAAACCAAACAGGGCAACACACUGGCCCGAGACAGACUCACAGAGGUGAGCGGUAUGGAGCAGAGCCAGGGGCGGAGUCUGGGCUGGUCAGAGGCCUCUCCACCCCACCCCCAGCACCCAGCAUGUGCCCUGCAGCUGACACGUGCCUCCCAGCACACUGAUGAUCGGACCUCCCCCAGGAUAAGUGCCCGGGCCUGAGAAGCUGAGGAACUCCAAGAGGCUGGUGGACUACUUCCUGCCCAAUCCCGGGAAACUCCUGAGAAAGCUGAGGCGCAGGCAGCACCACCAGCAGCACACCUGGUGAGGAGUGGCCAAAUUCAAGGUGUGUGGGGACGACAAUUCCAGAAGUAACAUCCUUAGCCUUUCUAGCCGGACCCCUCUCUGUGUUAAGGCCUCAAGUGUUCUCAGGCCAGGCCAUGGGCAGUCACCCACUCCCCAGGCCAGUGGCCAUAGGCCAGCUUCUUUCUCCAGCCUCAGCAAACUAAGAUGCAGAGGAACUGGCCAAACUGGUGCCAGCACCCAAAGCCAGCAGCACACACAUUUAUCCACAGCACAGGGAAUGUGGGCCAUGGGGCCUAUCCAGGCAAACAGCCCAAAGCCCUGGGCCUAGCUGACCUAAGUUCUAGAUGCUCCCUCCACCACCUUGGACCCGGCAAGGGCCAAGGCAAGGGCCAUCUUCAGGGCCUGGCUCUUCUGCAGCAGGGAUGGCUCGGAGGAUGCAGGGUCAAAGAGAAGACUCCCAGUCUUGCCAAUAGGGCUGUUUCCUCACUGUUUUCUCUGCCCAUGUUUGACAGUCCCUGAGAGAGGCCCCGGAGUUUGCAUAUGCUGAGCUUUAAGGAAAACCAGAUUAAAAAAAAAAAAAAAAAAGGAUGCCUAUGACCUGAUUCAAAAUAUCCUGGGAGCAGAGAAGAAAACAGCACACUCCACAGUGGAAAAGAUCAUGCAGCCAUAAAAAGGAAUCAAGCAUGACACAUGCUGUGACUUGGAUGAACCUUGAAAACAUUACGCUGAAAGAAGCCAGACAUAGAAGGGAAAGGAGCGGUUUAUCUGUAAAAGAACAUCCUACUCGCAAGUCAAAUGAAAUGUAGCCUUGGAUAAGUUCUUGCACCAAACAUCAUGAAGAAGAGAAUUUCUUCAUUUUACAGUGAGGCCACACCUGCGGUCAGUGUGGCUGAAAUGCCUCACGCUCACACAACAAAUGCCUCAUGUCUGAGACAGCAUCCCUUCUGCUCUGGGUGCAGAUCUACCCACUGUCCAGAGGCCAAGCAGCAUCUUCCUCCAUCUCUGGAUCCUCAACUCCUUGGGCCCGAAGGCCUCAGAGGCUGCGUGCUGCAUGCGCCCCACUCACCCAGGCCAACUGGGCCAAGGCUACACCGCCUCAGCAGUGACACCACAUGGAUGAAGCACCUACUAUGUGCCAGGUACCAGGCCACGUGCUUUACCUUCCAUCUCUCCCCAUCUUCCCAACAGCGUGAGAGGCAGAUUCGACCAGGAACCCAUCCUUUGGGCCCCAGAGAAGUGGCAAGUCCACAGCUGCUUCCCUUUCUCACCACAGCAAACAUCAGCUCAGCUCACCGGCAGCGGAGCAGUA